UGUGCGGGGCUGGAGUGGGACUUGUUUUCAGACUGGGAGUUAUGUGAUGCAGACAAACUCAGCAGCUCCAACUGUAGUCACACACCACACUGCCUUCGUUCAGGAGGCAUUCCAAGCCGUGUCACUUUUAGAAGCGAGAAAAUGACCCAACGUCACCAAAAACAAAAGAUUUAUUGAAUGAAUAUGUGUGAAAAAGCGGAGGACAAAGCGUUUCCCGACAGGCUUUUCCCCACUGAGAGAGCCUACAGCAGCACAGCAGCACCACUCCCAGCUAGACGCUUCCUUUCCACACACUAACACUCUGCUGCUUUAAAAGGACUGACCGCUCCGUCCAUAAAGCCAAUGGCAACAGGCUGUAGUACGAGAGAUGGAUACAAGGCGAAGGGUAACCUCAGCCUCACAGAGGACGCUGGAAGAGUCUUCGGCUUUCUGCAUGCCAGCUGAAGACUGACCCCAGUGCCACAGGAAGUUCUCAGGAAACAUCACAUAGAAAGCACAAUGCAAAUAUCAGAAAAAUCAAAACAAAGAAAUUGUAAAGCAUAAGAAAACAUUUUUCAUAUUAACACUCAAUGCAACUUUUUGCACUUUUGUUCUGCUCCAACUUACGUUCCUUGCAAGGCAAAAAAUACUCAGACAUGAUAUUGCAGUAAAAAGAGGCAAUUGGACUAGUUGGACUAUUGUGCCCCUUCGGUCGUUGGCAACAAUCUGCCCUCCCUCCUGGACCUGUACUUCUCGCGUGUCAGGAAAAGGGCAUGGCAAAUUACUGAGGACCUUCACACCCAGGACACGGUCUGUUUGAACUACUCCCAUCCGGCAGGCGCUACUGAACACCUGCCGCCAAAACAUCCAGGCACAAGAACAGUUUCUUUCCGUUAGCCAUUAAGCAUCCAUUGUGUCCACAGUGCAAAAAAGGGUGGCAUGCCCACUCCAGGUAAGAGGAAGGGACCUGCCCCAGGUGGAGGAGUCUUGGGGUCUUGUUCACGAGCGAUGGGAAGAGGGAUUGUGAGCCAUAAGGCAAAGCUCUCUGUUUACUGGUCGGUCUACAUCCCAGUCCUCACCUAUGGUCAUGACCUGUGGGUAAUGACCGAAAGAAUGAGAUCGCAAAUACAAACGGCGGAAAGGAGCUUGGUCUACUUGACAGGGUGAGGAGCUAAGUCUUCUGGGAGGAGCCCAGAGUAGAGUCGCUACCCCCUACAUUGAGAGGAGCCAGUUAAGGUGGUUCAGGUAUCUGAUCAGGAUGCCCACUGGAUGCCUCCUGGUGGGGGUUUAUCAGGCACGGCCUACUGUGACGAGACCCAGGGGUCGUCCUAGGACCCGCUGGAGGGAUUAUAUCUACAAGUUGGCCUGGGAGUGGCUCAGGGUCCCCCAGAAUGAGCUGGAGAGAGUUGUGGGGGACUGAGUCGUCUGGGAUUCUGUGCUCUACCACGAUCCUAGCCUGGAUUAAGGGGUUACAGAUGAUAAAUGAAUGAAUGAAUGAAUGAAUAAAUGAAUGAAA